UGGGGAAUAUUGGGCAAUGGGCGAAAGCCUGACCCAGCAACGCCGCGUGAGGGAAGAAGGGUUUCGGCUCGUAAACCUCUGUCCUAUGGGACGAAGGAAGUGACGGUACCAUAGGAGGAAGCCCCGGCUAACUACGUGCCAGCAGCCGCGGUAAUACGUAGGGGGCGAGCGUUGUCCGGAAUGAUUGGGCGUAAAGGGCGCGUAGGCGGCCUGUUAAGUCUGGAGUGAAAGUCCCGCUUUCAAGGUGGGAAUUGCUUUGGAUACUGAUGGGCUGGAGUGCAGGAGAGGAAAGCGGAAUUACCGGUGUAGCGGUGAAAUGCGUAGAGAUCGGUAGGAACACCAGUGGCGAAGGCGGCUUUCUGGACUGAAACUGACGCUGAGGCGCGAAAGCGUGGGGAGCAAACAGGAUUAGAUACC
rnacentral:rRNA from 1 species